rnacentral:lncRNA from 1 species
UUUUCUCAUAUUUUUCUCACAUUAUAUAUAGAGAUUGUGCUCCAUAAAAUAAGCUAAGUAUCAUUUUACAAUUAUUGCAUGUUAUCUCUUCCACAUAUUCUAUAUUUUUAUAUUUUAUUUGUUCUUCAUUGUUCUUGCCCUUUUUUUUUGGAAAUCUUUUGUUGUAUGAUUAUGGAGGUCUGCUCUAAUGUGUAAGGUCGAAACAUCAUAAUGAUUCAGAGAAGAUGGCCAAAAUUUUGAAACAAAAAGAAUUGAAAAAAGCUUCAUCUUCAAAAUUCUCAAAAAUACAAAGAUCUGAGGGAAAAAACAGAGAAUGAAGCAAAAUUUCAAGUCCUGAUAUUGAAUACUCUUGUGAAUAUGAUUCGGAAGAAGAUAAAGUUGAAGAGGUAUUUGUAUUUGUAUAAUAUACAUACAUACAUACAUACAUACAUACAUAUAUAUAUAUAUAUAUAUAUAUAUAUAUAUAUAUAUAUAUUUGGGCAUGUGCAUUUAUUUAUAUUUUUAUAUGGCAAGGUUUGUAUUUUUUGUAUUUUUAAGAUAUGUAUUACUGUUUAAGAUAUGUGUUUUGUAUUUGUUGUUUAAUAUGGGACAGAUAUGUAUUUCGUAAAUACAUAUGCAGAUAUAUGUAUUAUGUAAAAGAAAACAUAUGCAUAAUAUGUAUUUCGCGUUAUAUUUUUUUAUAAAAAGCACAUGUAAUAUAGAUUUAUGUCAUUAUUUUAUUCUAUAGGUAUUGUACGAUCAUAUAUUCAUGGCAAGAGUACUUUCAAGGUUUGCACCACAUAUAGGAUGUCACACAGUCAAUUAUAUUGAAGAACGUAUCAAGGCGAUAUUAUCAAAGAAGCAGUACAAGAUCUUUUGUCAUAAGAAUAUUUGUGGUGUCUACAUGAAGAAGAAGAAAUGUGUAGUUCAAGCACAAUUAAAUAGAUGUAUUAUGUCACAAAUGUAUUAUAAAUUUUUUGAGGGCAUGUACAUGUAUUUGUAUUUUAUAUACACAAAUGCAUAUUCAUAUGUAUUUUUAUACGGCAUUAGAUUUGUCUUUGAACUGUUUUAUGUCAUUUUAGAGGAUAACAUAUGUACUUUUUUUU